CCCCUUCAAAAAGCACUUGCUGAGUCUGCUCGGUGUCUGGGUGAGUUGUCGUAGAAGGGAAUAUGAACGUGGUCGCUGUGGGUGAGAUGGCAGUGAUCCUCUGUGACUGACUAGUCUCAAUCAGUGGCCACACAAAG
rnacentral:snoRNA from 1 species